UGGGGAAUAUUGCACAAUGUGCGCAAGCCUGAUGCAGCCAUGCCGCGUGUGUGAAGAAGGCCUUCGGGGUGUAAAGCACUUUCAGCUGGGAGGAAGGCGGUGAGGUUAAUAACCUCAUCGAUUGACGUUACCCGCAGAAGAAGCACCGGCUAACUCCGUGCCAGCAGCCGCGGUAAUACGGAGGGUGCAAGCGUUAAUCGGAAUUACUGGGCGUAAAGCGCACGCAGGCGGUCUGUCAAGUCGGAUGUGAAAUCCCCGGGCUCAACCUGGGAACUGCAUUCGAAACUGGCAGGCUAGAGUCUUGUAGAGGGGGGUAGAAUUCCAGGUGUAGCGGUGAAAUGCGUAGAUAUCUGGAGGAAUACCGGUGGCGAAGGCGGCCCCCUGGACAAAGACUGACGCUCAGGUGCGAAAGCGUGGGGAGCAAACAGG
rnacentral:rRNA from 1 species